rnacentral:rRNA from 1 species
GGUGAAUGCUGGCGGCGUGGAUAAGUCAUGCAAGUCAAGGGGGCCCGCAAGGGCAACCGGCAAACGAGGUAGUAACACGUAGGUAGACCCCCCAGAGUCGGGCAUAGCCAGCCGAAAGGUUGGGUAAUUCCCGAUAGUCCCGAAAGGGUAAAGGUUUUUCGUCUCUGGGAGUUGCCUGCGUAGUAUCAGCUAGUUGGUAGGGUAAUGGCCUACCAAGGCUACGACGCUUAGGGGAGCUGAGAGGCUGACCCCCACCGAUGGAACUGCGACACGGUCCAUACUCCUACGGGAGGCUGCAGACGAGAAUAUUCCGCAAUGGGCGAAAGCCUGACGGAGCGACGCCGCGUGAUUGAUGAAGUGCUUCGGUACGUAAAGAUCUUUUAUCGGGGACGAAGUUUAUUGACGGUACCCGAUGAAUAAGGGGCGUCCUAACUCUGUGCCAGCAGCCG